rnacentral:rRNA from 1 species
AUAUUGCACAAUGGGGGAAACCGUGAUGCAGCGACGCCGCGUGAGCGUAGAAGGCCUUCGGGUCGUAAAGCUCUGUCCUAAGGAAAGAAACGGACGGUACCUUAGGAGGAAGCCACGGCUAACUACGUGCCAUCAGCCGCGUUAAUACGUAGGGGGCGAGCGUUAUCCGUAAUUAUUGGGCGUAAAGGGAGCGUAGGCGGCCUUUUAAGUCAGAGGUGAAAGGCUACGGCUUAACCGUAGUUAGCAUUUGAAACUAAAAGGCUUGAGUGCAGGAGAGGAGAGUGGAAUUGCUAGUGUAGCGGUGAAAUGCGUAGAUAUUAGGAGGAACACCAGUGGCGAAGGCGACUCUCUGGACUGCAACUGACGCUGAGGCACGAAGGCGUGGGGAGCGAACA